rnacentral:rRNA from 1 species
UACGUAGGGAGCAAGCGUUGUCCGGAAUCAUUGGGCGUAAAGCGCGCGUAGGUGGCCCCGUAAGUCCGCUGUGAAAGCCCGGGGCUCAACCCCGGGUCGGCCGUGCGAACUGCGAGGCUGGAGCACUGUAGAGGCAGGUGGAAUUCCGGGUGUAGCGGUGGAAUGCGUAGAGAUCCGGAAGAACACCGGUGGCGAAGGCGGCCUGCUGGGCAGUGGCUGACGCUGAGGCGCGACAGCGUGGGGAGCAAACAGG